UUGCUUUGGCAGCACGUAUACUAAAAUUGAAAUGAUACAGAGAUUAGCAUGGCCCCUGUACAAGGAUGACAUGCAAAUUCGUGAAGCACUCCAUAUUUAA
ensembl:snRNA U6 U6 spliceosomal RNA